GAGCCGGUAGCUCAGCGGUAGAGCAACGGACUUUUAAUCCGUGGGUCGUGGGUUCGAUCCCCACCCGGCUCACCA
rnacentral:tRNA from 2 species